rnacentral:rRNA from 1 species
CCUACGGGAGGCAGCAGUGGGGAAUUUUGGACAAUGGGCGCAAGCCUGAUCCAGCCAUGCCGCGUGUGGGAAGAAGGCCUUCGGGUUGUAAACCACUUUUGUCAGGGAAGAAACGGCUUUUUCUAAUACAGAGAGCUAAUGACGGUACCUGAAGAAUAAGCACCGGCUAACUACGUGCCAGCAGCCGCGGUAAUACGUAGGGUGCAAGCGUUAAUCGGAAUUACUGGGCGUAAAGCGUGCGCAGGCGGCUUUGCAAGACAGAUGUGAAAUCCCCGGGCUCAACCUGGGAACUGCAUUUGUGACUGCAUGGCUAGAGUACGGUAGAGGGGGAUGGAAUUCCGCGUGUAGCAGUGAAAUGCGUAGAUAUGCGGAGGAACACCGAUGGCGAAGGCAAUCCCCUGGACCUGUACUGACGCUCAUGCACGAAAGCGUGGGGAGCAAACAGGAUUAGAUACCCUGGUAGUCCACGCCCUAAACGAUGUCAACUGGUUGUUGGACGGCUUGCUGUUCAGUAACGAAGCUAACGCGUGAAGUUGACCGCCUGGGGAGUACGGCCGCAAGGUUGAAACUCGAAAGUGUAGUGCGUGAGAGAGCGACGAGACGACGAGGAGGAGGNG